UCUCACUAGAGCAUGGAGGAGCAGAGAUAAGACAUGGUUCUGAUAGAGAGGACCAGCACCCCAAGAAACAAAAUCUGUAGCUGUGUUUUUAUUUUGUUUUUUCUACUCUGUAUGUCUCAUUUACCUUUUUUUUACAAUACCUUCAAAACAGGAAUCCAGAAUACCAAAACUGCACAUGGGUUCCUUUAAAACCACAGUGUCUAAUGCAUAUCAGCAGUGUCCUGUAUAAAGGCUGGUUUUGGAAGAUUGAUAUAUGAGGACUGCAGAUUGAAGACAUUUUAUUGUUGAUGCUUAGUUCUGGAUGUUAUGUCAAAGGUUAGCAUGCCAAGAUUACUGAAGCCAUGGUGAUAAGUUAAACAUGUAUACUAUUGCUGUUGACAUCCGUUUGAUAUUGUGUGUCUAUUGCAGAAAUAUUGUGUCCCGGAAGGAAGGCAAAAUGACAUCCCAAGAACCAGGAUGAUCCAGGGAAAUCCGGUGGCCACUACAAAGUUCUUGUCAUUCUCCUUCAGGAAGGCGUCAAACAUGGUGGCGUCUUCCUCCAGAUACUGCUCAGCCUUCUCCAGCUUGCGCUCCUCAGCGAUCGCCAUCUCAUCCAGCUUGCACAUCUCAUCUCGCUUCACUGCCAGGGAGUACUGC